AAACUUGAGAGUUUGAUCAUGGCUCAGAACGUACGCUGGCGGCACGCCUAACACAUGCAAGUCGAACGAAGUAGCAAUACUUAGUGGCAGACGGGUGAGUAACAUGUAGGUAUCUGCCCUUUGGCCUGGAAUAACACGAGGAAACUUGUGCUAAUACCGGAUAAGUCUUUACGGAGAAAGCUUUAUGCACCAUUGGAUGAGCCUGCACUUGAUUAGUUUGUUGGUGGGGUAAUGGCCUACCAAGACUGUGAUCAAUAGCUGAUUUGAGAGGAUGAUCAGCCACAUUGGGACUGAGACACGGCCCAAACUCCUACGGGAGGCAGCAGUGGGGAAUCUUGCACAAUGGAGGAAACUCUGAUGCAGCGAUGCCGCGUGAGUGAAGAAGGCCCUUGGGUUGUAAAGCUCUUUCGUCGGGGAAGAAAAUGACUGUACCCGAAUAAGAAGGUCCGGCUAACUUCGUGCCAGCAGCCGCGGUAAUACGAAGGGACCUAGCGUAGUUCGGAAUUACUGGGCUUAAAGAGUUCGUAGGUGGUUGAAAUAGUUAGUGGUGAAAUCCCAGAGCUUAACUCUGGAACUGCCAUUAAAACUUUUCAGCUAGAGUAUGAUAGAGGAAAGCAGAAUUUCUAGUGUAGAGGUGAAAUUCGUAGAUAUUAGAAAGAAUACCAAUUGCGAAGGCAGCUUUCUGGAUCAUUACUGACACUGAGGAACGAAAGCAUGGGUAGCGAAGAGGAUUAGAUACCCUCGUAGUCCAUGCCGUAAACGAUGUGUGUUAGACGUUGGAAAUUUAUUUUCAGUGUCGCAGGGAAACCGAUAAACACACCGCCUGGGGAGUACGACCGCAAGGUUAAAACUCAAAUGAAUUGACGGGGACCCGCACAAGUAGUGGAGCAUGUGGUUUAAUUCGAAGAUACGCGCAGAACCUUACCAACACUUGACAUGUUCGUCGCGACUCUAAGAGAUUAGAGUUUUCGGUUCGGCCGGACGAAACACAGGUGCUGCAUGGCUGUCGUCAGCUCGUGUCGUGAGAUGUUGGGUUAAGUCCCGCAACGAGCGCAACCCUCACUUUUAGUUGCCAUCAUUAAGUUGGGCACUCUGAAAGAACUGCCAGUGAUAAGCUGGAGGAAGGUGGGGAUGACGUCAAGUCCUCAUGGCCCUUACGUGUUGGGCUACACACGUGCUACAAUGGUAUCUACAACAGGAAGCAAGACUGCGAAGUUAAGCAAAUCCCUAAAAGAUACCUCAGUUCGGAUUGCACUCUGCAACUCGAGUGCAUGAAGCUGGAAUUACUAGUAAUCGUGGAUCAGCGUGCCACGGUGAAUGCGUUCCCGGGUCUUGUACACACCGCCCGUCACACCAUGGGAGUUGGUUCUACCUUAAGGCAAGGUUUCAAACCCUUGACCACGGUAUAGUCAGCGACUGGGGUGAAGUCGUAACAAGGUAGCCGUAGGGGAACCUGCGGCUGGAUUACCUCCUUU
rnacentral:rRNA from 1 species